rnacentral:rRNA from 1 species
GAUCUUCGGACCUCGUGCUAUUAGAUGAGUCUGCGUCGGAUUAGCUUGUUGGUGAGGUAAUGGCUCACCAAGGCGACGAUCCGUAGCUGGUCUGAGAGGAUGACCAGCCACACUGGAACUGAGACACGGUCCAGACUCCUACGGGAGGCAGCAGUGGGGAAUAUUGCACAAUGGGCGCAAGCCUGAUGCAGCCAUGCCGCGUGUGUGAAGAAGGCCUUAGGGUUGUAAAGCACUUUCAGCAGUGAGGAAAGGGGUGUCGUUAAUAGCGCCAUCCUGUGACGUAACUGCAAGAAGAAGGACCGGCUAACUCCGUG